rnacentral:rRNA from 1 species
GUACACGCUGUGACUAGCAUAUCAAUAAGCGGAGGAAAAGAAACUAACAAGGAUUCCCCUAGUAACGGCGAGUGAAGCGGGAAGAGCUCAAAUUUGAAAUCUUAAAGGUUUUCCCUUGACGAAUUGUAGUUUAAAGAAGUGUUUUCUGUUGAAGUUUUGGUAAAAGUUCUUUGGAAUAGGACAUCAUAGAGGGUGAGAAUCCCGUAUUUGACCUUUACUUUCAACUUUGUGAUACACUUUCAAAGAGUCGGAUUGUUUGGGAAUGCAGUCCAAAAUGGGUGGUAAAUUUCAUCUAAAGCUAAAUAUUGGCGAGAGACCGAUAGCGAACAAGUACCGUGAGGGAAAGAUGAAUAGAACUUUGAAAAGAGAGUUAAACAGUACGUGAAAUUGUCAAAAGGGAAGCGUUUGACACCAGUGUUGUUUUUCUGAAAAUCAAUUAAAGAACUGUUUAUGCUAAGCUGUUUAGACUUUAUCAGCUAUCUGUUUAGUUUUGAGCUUUUCUUUAAUGCACUUUUCAGUUAACAAGUCAACAUCAAUUUCUUUUGCUGUAAAAAAGCUUGAGGAAGGUGGCUUGAGAUUCGUCUUAAGUGUUUAUAGCCUCUUGCCUAUGCAGUCGGAGAGAUUGAGGUCUGCAGCGCAGAUCCUUCGGGGCUAAAUGCAUUUGUGCUAAGUUAUAGCAUUUUAUAGACAACUUGUUGACUAUGAUUUGUCUUGUAGCUUACUCGCUUAUGUUAUUUUACCUACGCUUAGGAUGUUGAAGAUGUAGCACAUCAU